rnacentral:lncRNA from 1 species
CACAGCCCCAGGACCUUGGUCGCGAGGAGUCUCUCCUAUCAGCUGUGUCUGCAGGCACACCACCCUGCUCCAGCUUCCUUCCCACCAACCUGCUUGCUUCACAGUCCACAGCACAGCUGGAGCCACCCUUGUGCUGAUCACGCUGCCUGCCUGCUCAGCCGUCGUGUGCGAAGGACAGCAGUCUGCCUGGAAAGUGGCACACAUCAGAGCAACAUCUACCCUCAAUUUAAGGAUCGUUGGCAGACAAGUAAUGAACAACAGAUGCUGUGACAGAACUUGUCCAGAAGAGCCUGCAAAAUACUUGUCAGUGGGGACCUUAGUUUUCUACCUGCAGAACUUUUGCUUUGACUUCCUUUGACUCUGUUGGGUCCAGUCGAUCUACAGCUAUUUAUAUACAUAUGCAUCUAUAUAUAUCUAUAUCUGAACAUUGCUUCUUUUCAUUGUCUUCAGGAAAAUGAAUGUCCAGUGAAAAGAAAUAUCCACCCACUUCAUUUGUAAGAGCAGACAGUGAAAUUACGCAACAGCUCUAGUACUAUUUCAUCUUCUUUCUAAUUCCCAAAUAAUUCCAUUUCAAUUAUUUGGGAAGCUUUUUCUGUUAAUUAAGAUACCGUGUGCUUGUUUUACCACUCCUAGCCCUCCUUCCUAAUUUUUCAGUUAAGCUUCUUUUCAAAAUCUACCCAUUUCUCUCCGACCAUCUCAGCAGAAGGGCCUCAUUUAGUUAGCACUCACUUCCAUAGAUACGCAACUAGAUUUAAAGCUAGGGUGUAUAAUAGAUUUACAGUAUUUACUGGUAACUUUUCAUAUCAUUUUUUAACCUUUAGACAAUCUUUAAUAUAAAAAGUGCCACAUAUAUGGAGCUGUAAUGUCUGUGCUGUAAUAUACUACUGUACUGGCAGAUGGAGUUAGAGAAUCAUACCUAGAAAAACUGGUAGUGGUGGUGGUAGAGGCUUCUGUGUUCAGCACUUGUAUAAUUGAGUUUCAGAUGAAUACAGUAUAGAAAACACAGAAUAAUAUUAAAGAAGGUCAGAAAUUUUCUGUAGGAAAUUUUUUCCUUUGGGAAAUGAGGUUUUGUUAAAAACAGCAUGCUGAAAAAAAAGGGAAUUGAUUUUUAUGAAAUUUAAUGAUGAAGGAAUUGAAAAAGCAUUUUAAUAAUGUCAGUAUGAUUAAUUUAUCCUUAUUAUUAUCCUUUUCAGAAUAAAUUG